GAUGAACGCUGGCGGCGUGCCUAACACAUGCAAGUCGAACGGAGUCCAGCCUUAGAGACCUUCGGGUCAAAGAGGGGAAGACUGAGUGGCGGACGGGUGAGUAACACGUGGGCAACCUGGCUCAUAGAGGGGGAUAACAGAGAGAAAUUUCUGCUAAUACCGCAUAAGCACACACUGCCGCAUGGCAGAGUGUGAAAAGAGAAUCGCUAUGAGAUGGACCCGCGUCUGAUUAGCCAGUUGGCAGGGUAAGAGCCUACCAAAGCGACGAUCAGUAGCCGAUUUGAGAGGAUGAACGGCCACAUUGGGACUGAGACACGGACCAAACUCCUACGGGAAGCAGCAGUGGGGGAUAUUGCACAAUGGGGGGAACCCUGAUGCAGCGACGCCGCGUGAGUGAAGAAGUAUUUCGGUAUGUAAAGCUCUAUCAGCAGGGAAGAUAAUGACAGUACCUGAAUAAGAAGCCCCGGCUAACUACGUG
rnacentral:rRNA from 1 species